CCUACGGGAGGCAGCAGUGAGGAAUAUUGGUCAAUGGACGAGAGUCUGAACCAGCCAAGUAGCGUGAAGGAUGACUGCCCUAUGGGUUGUAAACUUCUUUUAUAUGGGAAUAAAACAGGGUAUGCAUACCCUCUUGUAUGUACCAUAUGAAUAAGGAUCGGCUAACUCCGUGCCAGCAGCCGCGGUAAUACGGAGGAUGCGAGCGUUAUCCGGAUUUAUUGGGUUUAAAGGGUGCGUAGGCGGAUCGUUAAGUCAGUGGUCAAAUUGAGGGGCUCAACCCCUUCCCGCCAUUGAAACUGGCGUUCUUGAGUGGAAGAGAAGUAUGCGGAAUGCGUGGUGUAGCGGUGAAAUGCAUAGAUAUCACGCAGAACCCCGAUUGCGAAGGCAGCAUGCCGGCUUCCGACUGACGCUGAAGCACGAAAGCGUGGGGAUCGAACAGGAUUAGAUACCCGUGUAGUC
rnacentral:rRNA from 1 species